UACGGAGGGGGCUAGCGUUGUUCGGAAUUACUGGGCGUAAAGCGCACGUAGGCGGCUUUGUAAGUUAGAGGUGAAAGCCCGGGGCUCAACCCCGGAACUGCCUUUGAAACUAGAUAGCUAGAAUCUUGGAGAGGUCAGUGGAAUUCCGAGUGUAGAGGUGAAAUUCGUAGAUAUUCGGAAGAACACCAAUGGCGAAGGCGACUGACUGGACAAGUAUUGACGCUGAGGUGCGAAAGCGUGGGGAGCAAACAGG
rnacentral:rRNA from 1 species